GAAAUGCGAUAAGUAAUGUGAAUUGCAGAAUUCAGUGAAUCAUCGAAUCUUUGAACGCACAUUGCGCCCGCCAGUAUUCUGGCGGGCAUGCCUGUUCGAGCGUCAUUUCAACCAUCAAGCCCCCGGCUUGUGUUGGGGACCUGCGGCUGCCCGCAGGCCCUGAAAAACAGUGGCGGGCUCGCUGUCACACCGAGCGUAGUAACAUACAUUCUCGCUCAGGGCGUGCUGCGGGUUCCGGCCGUUAAACGACCUUCAUAACCCAAGGUUGACCUCGGAUCAGGUAGGAAGACCCGCUGAACUUAAGC
rnacentral:misc_RNA from 1 species